UAGAACUUUAGUGUAGCCUAAGUGUACAGUGUUUAUAAAGUCUACAGUGUUUAUAAAGUAAUAUACAGUAAUGUACUAGGCCUUCAAUUCACUUACUACUCAUUUGUCAACUCACCAAGAGGAAAUUCCAGUCCUGCAAGCCCUAUUCAUGUCUUAGGAAAAAUUGACAACUGAAUAUCCUCAGACAGAUACAAAAAAGGAGCACCCUAAACAAAUGACAGAGGAGAAGUGUUCCAGAUUAUAUUUCUAAGCUGGUAUAAGAGAGUGAAAGAUGUUAGAGCAUAAAUGUCUGCUGGUGCAAAAGUUCUUCAGAAAGAAAAAAAAAAUGAUGCUGCAAAAGAUGAAUAAUUAAAUACCAAACCUGGAUAAAUACAAGAAGCUUAUGCAAUCCCUACAAGAGAAGCCUUGUCUUCAGAAAUAUGCUACCCAUGGUAGCAAACUGGAAUCACCCUUGAACUUGACUACAUAUAAUUACAUAAUUGUCCCCACUACCUCCUUAUGAACACACAUUUAAGGAUAAAUCAGAGUAGUACAUCUGAAGAAAGCAGAAGGAAUAGGUGUUUUUCAGGCAACUGAAUUGAGCAGAUUGUAACACUUGGGUAGGACAUUAAGCACUGUGAUUUUUGUCAAGAGAAGUAGAAAACAUACCUGGUUACACAUUUCUUUCCCCACAAUAGGAAACAGCCAAAUUAGUCUAAGGAGCCACAGUUUUUCUUCACAUUCAAUUCAUCAAGAAUUCACCAUAAGCAGCCCCUAAGUUCUGCAAAUGCAGUUUUUUAAAAAAGAGCUGUGAAUUUCUCCUCUCAGACACCUAGGAAAGCAGAGAGAAAGAGCAUGAAUGCACAGCCCAGAACAAGAGUUUCUGCGAAGAACUGAGGUGCAUGCAUGGUUAACAUUUGUGUUAGAGACUCUGAAGUGUUAGUGCUCCCCUCAAGAGACGGCUGUUAACAAUUCCGGGUUUCAGGACUCUGUGGUGCCUACCCUCAGCACAGUCUUUGAAAGCUGCUGACUUGUUCUGCAUGUUCAAGGAAGAAUUAAACUUCUGAAAGUUGCUGCAUGCUGCUCUGGCGGAGGCCCGUGCAUCUGUGCAGCAGUUUUCCAUUCACCAGAAUUUUCAGAAUGAAUGACUUGUUGAUGAAAGCUUGUUGGGAAUUUUGGCCUUCUGAGUGUUAAGCAUAACAUUAGCCUACUUUUCUCUAAAGUCUCAUAAAUCCUUGAAAAGGAGUUAACUAUUAAAGUGGUCCUGACAACAGUUGGUGAGCUCAAUGAAAGAUAAAAGGCAAAUGCUCAGAUUAAGAAGGCCCUCUCACUUUAACAGAAAAACUGGCAAACUUUAAUCCCUAGCAGUGAGUGAGCCAAUGUCAGAAGUUUUGAAAUACUCUGAAGACCACAGUGUAUAGCCCCACAAAAGACACAUGGAUUCUAUAGCAAGAAUCAUCAGGCUGGAAUGAUGCACGAUCCAAGAAUUGAUUAACCACGAGCAUGAGGUUUAACACUUGGGGAAAUGUCAUCAACACGAUGGGAAAGAAAGUGAAUCAUCUAUGUGCUUAGGCAAAGUUUCCAAAAAGAAUCUAAAGUGAAGAACAGAUGGUGAGAUGACAAGCCAAAGAUAUCUGACAUUUCUCCAGCAUCUCCAAGACAGCGGCUUUUGUAAUGUUGUGAGCGACAAGGCAAGCUAUUAAGUAGUUAUUGAGAAUCUAUUACAUAUUAAGCAUGGUGGUGAACACUGGACAAGGAAAGGAGAAAGAGAGAAAGAAAAAUAGAAAAAGAAAAGAGAAAGAAAAAAAGCAGAAAAAAGAAAGAGAAGGAUGAAAGGAAGAAAAUGAAAAGAUAUGUAAAGAAUGUUCAGGAAUAGAACUAGGCCAAGGUGGUUACAGAAAGAGGCUAUAAGAAAUUAACUACCUGUUUAAAAUGAAAUAAAGUGUCUAGAAGAAUUAGAUCCCAAUGAACUACAAAAACUCAGAUGGAAUUACAAAAUUGUUGCCAAAAAUGUGAAGACGAUAUGGAGAAGAGAAGAGGUACUGGGGUACUAAAGAUUAGAAAAUAUUCCUUGAAUUUGAAAAAGGGGAGAAGGAUGGAUCCAGAUAUUAAUCAUCAAAAUUAAAGAUAUCUUAAAUAUUAGAACAAACUGUUAAUCAGAUGGUCUGUGACCAUUUAGGACAGAGAGAGACAUGCACUAAAAGCCAGCAUGGGACUAUUUAUUAAGAAGAUCUCAGUGAGACCAAAAUAUAGAAC